GCACAGGCAGAGUGCUGUCACCUGGCAUAGCUUCAGUGGUCCUGCAUGGUGAUGGGCUCUUGGUGCCAAGGAGCUCUGCCUGUGGUUGGGCCCCUAGUGUGGGUGGUAGAAUCAAAGGGUGCCCAGUGGGCACACAUUGAGCCAUAGGGAUGGGCAAGCCUGGAAAAGGGCCCAUUACCGUCCCCAUGUGACCAGCCCUGCCUGGUUGGGGAGAACUAAAGCUGAGCUGGCUUGCACAAGGCCCCAGUCCAAGUAACUUAGGAUCACACCCACUUUCCAGUGCCAAGCCUGAAUUUCUAACAACUUGGGUUCAGAUGGCAACUCUGCCCCUAACUGUGCAACUCUUGAGUAACACUCCCACUCGAAACCUUCCAAUCCUCACCUGUUGCACUGCUGGCUCCUGAGGGAUUCCAGAGGUACCACAUGUAGAUGGUGCUGUGGCUCAGAGCAGCACAUCUGGCAGGCAGCCAGUCAACCCGGUGUUACCCUGUUUAAGACCAAGAUACUCAAAGAAUACUAAAUCAGAAUCCUACACUGUCAUCCCAGCUCAGUUGUCAGUGCUGGAAACUUGUGAAUAAACAGCCUACCACAUGCAAGGCACUUUGCAAAUAUGUAUCAUUAACGCUGCAACCCUGUAAAGUAAAUGCCGAAAAGCACCUGCAGUUUGAAGAAGGGGAAACCCUGUUGACACGUGAGGACGUGAGGUCCUGCCUUUCUCCUGCGGUGCACUACUCUAUCGGCUGACGGCACCACACUGUAUGCAUCCAUUCUCCACGCACGGGCUUAUCGUUUGGUUUUUCCCAGUUUUUGCUACCAGAAAUCUCCCUGCAAUAAAAGUUUUUCCUAUGUG